rnacentral:tRNA from 2 species
GCCCCGGUGGCGAAAUCGGUAGACGCAGCGGACUUAAAAUCCGCCGGCCAAAAGCCAUGCCGGUUCGACUCCGGCCCGGGGCACCA